AUUGAACGCUGGCGGCAGGCCUAACACAUGCAAGUCGAACGAGUGGCGGACGGGUGAGUAAUGUCUGGGAAACUGCCUGGUGGCGGGGGAUAACUACUGGAAACGGUCGCUAAUACCGCAUACCAUCAGAUGUGCCCAGAUGGGAUUAGCUUGUUGGUGGGGUAACGGCUCACCAAGGCGACGAUCCCUAGCUGGUCUGAGAGGACGACCAGCCACACUGGAAAGGAGACAGGGUCCAGACUCCGACGGGAGGCAGCAGUGGGUAAUAUUGCACAAUGGGCGCAAGCCUGAUCCAGCCAUCCCGCGUGUAUGAAGAAGGCCUUCGGGUUGUAAAGUACUUUCAGCGGGGAGGCGUUACCCGCAGAAGAAGCACCGGCUAACGCCGUGCCAGCCGCCGCGGUAAUAC
rnacentral:rRNA from 1 species